rnacentral:lncRNA from 1 species
UCGUUUCCUUUCUUUCCUACAUUCUUUAUUUUUUUUUCUUUUUACUUUCUCUUAUUUCCAUCUUUCUCUCUUCUUUCUUUAGCCAUUCGGCCUCCACUGAUCAUAAGCCUCUAAAGUGAUGCUCCUUGUCCUCCACUCAUGUUUUCCGGUUUAGAUUUCCUCAAACCCAAACCAAAAUCUUCAAAAAAAUCGAAUAAAAAGAAACUUGAUCCGUCGUCAGAUCGGUCUCAUUUUCUAGUAUGAUGCUCUUCACCAUCCAAGGAAGAUUUUCCUCAAUGGGAUCGUCAAUUGGUCAUCUCAAACCAAUCCAAAACGGUUGUGUUCUCUCCUUUUCUUCUUUUGCAAAAUCUUUGGUUAGUCUCGAUUAGGGCUAACUCAUGUUUGGGGUUGUGUUUUAUGGCUCGAGGAUGGGGUGGGUUUUGGUUAGUCUCUAUAAUGCUUUUCAAUUUAUUGAUUUCUAUAUUCACUUGCCGGUGGUUAUGUGCUUGUUUUCUGCAUGAAAGGUAUGCAAGAGAAAUGGAGAAGUUCAAGAUGAGGAUUUGAAGAAGGAGCCAUGAGUUUUUCAAGUUGAUCUUCAUAUAUUCUUUUAUUUGUUGUUCAUCACUAAUUUAUAUCAUAUUGGUUAUUAUGUAAAAAAAAAAAAAGAUUGGUUAUUCAUUUAUUCUAUUUUUCUUGUGAUUUAAGAUUUUAAUUGCAAUAAUC